rnacentral:rRNA from 1 species
UGUGUAGGCGGUUCUCUAAGUUUGGUGUGAAAUCUCCCGGCUCAACCGGGAGGGUGCGCCGAAAACUGGAGGGCUAGAGUGCGGGAAGGGAGAGUAGAAUUCCUGGUGUAGCGGUGAAAUGCGUAGAUAUCAGGAGGAAUACCGGUGGUGCAGACGGCUCUCUGGACCGCCACUGACGCUGAGACACGAAAGCGUGGGUAGCAAACAGGAUUAGAUACCCUGGUAGUCCACGCCCUAAACGAUGCAUAUUCGGUGUAGGUCAUUCAGUUGAUCUGUGCCGGAGCUAACGCGUUAAAUAUGCCGCCUGGGGAGUACAGUCGCAAGGCUGAA